UCCGUAGGGGAACCUGCGGAAGGAUCAUUACCGAGUGCGGGUCCUUUGGGCCCAACCUCCCAUCCGUGUCUAUUAUACCCUGUUGCUUCGGCGGGCCCGCCGCUUGUCGGCCGCCGGGGGGGCGCCUUUGCCCCCCGGGCCCGUGCCCGCCGGAGACCCCAACACGAACACUGUCUGAAAGCGUGCAGUCUGAGUUGAUUGAAUGCAAUCAGUUAAAACUUUCAACAAUGGAUCUCUUGGUUCCGGCAUCGAUGAAGAACGCAGCGAAAUGCGAUAACUAAUGUGAAUUGCAGAAUUCAGUGAAUCAUCGAGUCUUUGAACGCACAUUGCGCCCCCUGGUAUUCCGGGGGGCAUGCCUGUCCGAGCGUCAUUGCUGCCCUCAAGCCCGGCUUGUGUGUUGGGUCGCCGUCCCCCUCUCCGGGGGGACGGGCCCGAAAGGCAGCGGCGGCACCGCGUCCGAUCCUCGAGCGUAUGGGGCUUUGUCACAUGCUCUGUAGGAUUGGCCGGCGCCUGCCGACGUUUUCCAACCAUUUUUUCCAGGUUGACCUCGGAUCAGGUAGGGAUACCCGCUGAACUUAAGCAUAUCAAUAAGCGGAGGAAUCNUUACCGAGUGCGGGUCCUUUGGGCCCAACCUCCAUCCG
rnacentral:rRNA from 1 species